rnacentral:rRNA from 1 species
GUGUGGGUCCAUUCCACGGGGUCCGUGCCGCAGCUAACGCAUUAAGCGCCCCGCCUGGGGAGUACGGCCGCAAGGCUAAAACUCAAAGGAAUUGACGGGGGCCCGCACAAGCGGCGGAGCAUGCGGAUUAAUUCGAUGCAACGCGAAGAACCUUACCAAGGCUUGACAUGUACCGGAAACUCCCAGAGAUGGGGGCCCCGCAAGGUCGGUACACAGGUGGUGCAUGGUUGUCGUCAGCUCGUGUCGUGAGAUGUUGGGUUAAGUCCCGCAACGAGCGCAACCCUCGUUCUAUGUUGCCAGCACGUGAUGGUGGGGACUCAUAGGAGACUGCCGGGGUCAACUCGGAGGAAGGUGGGGAUGACGUCAAAUCAUCAUGCCCCUUACGUCUUGGGCUUCACGCAUGCUACAAUGGCCGGUACAGAGGGCUGCGAAACCGUGAGGUGGAGCGAAUCCCUUAAAGCUGGUCUCAGUUCGGAUUGGGGUCUGCAACUCGACCCCAUGAAGUCGGAGUCGCUAGUAAUCGCAGAUCAGCAACGCUGCGGUGAAUACGUUCCCGGGCCUUGUACACACCGCCCGUCAAGUCACGAAAGUCGGUAACACCCGAAGCCGGUGGCCUAACCCUUGUGGAGGGAGCCGUCGAAGGUGGGGCUG